rnacentral:rRNA from 1 species
GAGCUUGCUCUUCUGGAUGAGUUGCGAACGGGUGAGUAACGCGUAGGUAACCUGCCUGGUAGCGGGGGAUAACUAUUGGAAACGAUAGCUAAUACCGCAUAACAGUAGAUAUUGCAUGAUAUCUGCUUGAAAGGUGCAAUUGCAUCACUACCAGAUGGACCUGCGUUGUAUUAGCUAGUUGGUGAGGUAACGGCUCACCAAGGCGACGAUACAUAGCCGACCUGAGAGGGUGAUCGGCCACACUGGGACUGAGACACGGCCCAGACUCCUACGGGAGGCAGCAGUAGGGAAUCUUCGGCAAUGGACGGAAGUCUGACCGAGCAACGCCGCGUGAGUGAAGAAGGUUUUCGGAUCGUAAAGCUCUGUUGUAAGAGAAGAACGAGUGUGAGAGUGGAAAGUUCACACUGUGACGGUAUCUUACCAGAAAGGGACGGCUAACUACGUGCCAGCAGCCGCGGUAAUACGUAGGUCCCGAGCGUUAUCCGGAUUUAUUGGGCGUAAAGCGAGCGCAGGCGGUUAGAUAAGUCUGAAGUUAAAGGCUGUGGCUUAACCAUAGUACGCUUUGGAAACUGUUUAACUUGAGUGCAAGAGGGGAGAGUGGAAUUCCAUGUGUAGCGGUGAAAUGCGUAGAUAUAUGGAGGAACACCGGUGGCGAAAGCGGCUCUCUGGCUUGUAACUGACGCUGAGGCUCGAAAGCGUGGGG